rnacentral:rRNA from 1 species
AGCAGUCGCCACGGUAAAACGAAGGGGGCUAGCGUUGCUCGGAAUUACUGGGCGUAAAGGGAGCGUAGGCGGAUGAAUUAGUCAGGGGUGAAAUCCCGGGGCUCAACCUCGGAACUGCCUUUGAUACUGUUCAUCUUGAGUAUGGGAGAGGUGUGUGGAACUCCGAGUGUAGAGGUGAAAUUCGUAGAUAUUCGGAAGAACACCAGUGGCGAAGGCGACACACUGGCCCAUUACUGACGCUGAGGCUCGAAAGCGUGGGGAGCAAACAGGAUUAGAUACCCCCGUAGUCCCUGUCUCUUAUAC